rnacentral:lncRNA from 1 species
GUAUUGGUAGAUGUAGUGGUGUGGGGUAUUAGGUAGAGGUAGUGGUGUGGGGUAUUAGGUAGAUGUAGUGAUGUGGGGGUAUUAGGUAGAGGUAGUGAUGUGGGGGUAUUAGGUAGAGGUAGUGAUGUGGGGGUAUUAGGUAGAGGUAGUGAUGUAGGGGUGUUAGGUAGAGGUAGUGGUGUGGGGGUAUUAGGUAGAUGUAGUGGUGUGGGGUAUUAGGUAGAUGUGGUGGUGUGGGGUUUUAGGUAGAUGUAGGGGUGUAGGGGUAUUAGGUAGAUGUAGGGCUGUGGGUUAGAUGUAAUUGUGUUUGUGGUAUUAGGUAGAUGUAGUGGUGUAGGGGUAUUAGGUAGAUGUAGUUGUGUUUGUGGUAUUAGGUAGAUGUAGUGUUAUUAUGUAGAUGUAGUUGUGUAGGGGUAAUAGGUAGAUGUAGUGGUGUUGGGUAUUAGGUAGAGGUAGUGAUGUAGGGGUAUUAGGUAGAGGUAGUGAUGUAGGGGUAUUAGGUCGAUGUAAUGGUGUAGGGGUAUUAGGUAGAUGUAGUUGUGUUUGUGGUAUUAGGUAGAUGUAGUGUUAUUAUGUAGAUGUAGUUGUGUAGGGGUAAUAGGUAGAUGUAGGGGUAUUAGGUAGAUGUAGGGGUGUUGGCGUAUUAGGUAGAUGUAGGGGUGUAGAGGUAUUAGGUAUAUGUAGGGGUGUAGAGGUAUUAGGUAGAUGUAGUGGUGUUAGGUAGAUGUAGUGGUGUUGGGUAUUAGGUAGAUGUACUGGUGUAGGGGUAUUAGGUAGAGGUAGUGGUGUAGGGGUAUUAGGUAGAUGUAGUGGUGUAGGGGUAUUAGGUAGAUGUAGUGGUGUAGGGGUAUUAGGUAGAGGUAGUGAUGUAGGGGUAUUAGGUAGAGGUAGUGAUGUAAGGGUAUUAGGUAGAUGUAGUGAUGUAGGGGUAUUAGGUAGAGGUAGUGAUGUAGGGGUAUUAGGUAGAGGUAGUGAUGUAGGGGUAUUAGGUAGAUGUAGUUGUGUAGGGGUAUUAGGUAGAUGUAGUGGUGUAGGGGUAUUAGGUAGAGGUAGUGAUGUAGGGGUAUUAGGUAGAGGUAGUUAUGUAGGGGUAUUAGUUAGAUGUAGUGAUGUAGGGGUAUUAGGUAGAAGUACUGAUGUACGGGUAUUAGGUAGAGGUAGUGAUGUGCGGGUAUUAGGUAGAGGUAGUGAUGUAGGGGUAUUAGGUAGAGGUAGUGGUGUAGGGGUAUUAUGUAGAUGUAGUGGUGUAGGGGUAUUAGGUAGAUGUAGUGGUGUAGGGGUAUUAGGUAGAGGUAGUGAUGUAGGGGUAUUAGGUAGAGGUAGUGAUGUAAGGGUAUUAGGUAGAGGUAGUGAUGUAGGGGUAUUAGGUAGAGGUAGUGAUGUAGAGGUAUUAGGUAGAUGUAGUGAUGUAGGGGUAUUAGGUAGAGGUAGUGAUGUAGGGGUAUUAGGUAGAGGUAGUGAUGUAAGGGUAUUAGGUAGAUGUAGGGGUAUUAGGUAGAUGUAGUGGUGUUUGGUAUUAGGUAGAUGUACUGGUGUAGGGGUUUUAGGUAGAUGUAGGUGUUUGUGGUAUUAGGUAGAUGUAGUGGUGUAGGGGUAUUAGGUAAAUGUAGGAGUGUAGGGGUGUUAGGUAGAUGUAGUGGUGUAGGGGUAUUAGGUAGAUGUAGUGGUGUAGAG